rnacentral:lncRNA from 1 species
ACACAUGCUGUGAUGCUGUAAUUAACAAUAGAGACUUCCAUUGGAAGAAUGUCCUGGGACCCAACAUUCCAGUCUCGCCCUCUCUGAGGUGGGAAAGACCAGGGUUUGAGACUCUGAAUGAGGUCCAAAUGAACCAUUAACAUAACAUCUGCCCAAAGAAAGUUCCAUUCAAAGGAUAAGGAAGACCAGGCGCAUUAGUCUUCUACCCAGAAUCAAGGGAUGAGAGAAGGAGGACCAGUCCCUCAACCCGCUCUAGUGUCAGCAAGCUGCUGUUGCUCUUGAGAAGUCCUUUGUUACAAAAUCCCGUGGCACGGCUUUCUACAGAGAAUUGCCCCCUUUGAAGAUUUGCCCCAGUGGUCGUCGUGUUAGCUGCUUCGGUGAAGAAAUAAAAAGGCAUGCCUUAGAUCAACUAUUACUUAUGAAAGGACACCUAGACAUGAAUUCGAAAGGUUUACAUUGUCAAACCAGGGAAGGAGGCAGAGAAGGAAGAUUGUAUCCCUACCUCGGAACGCAGGGGCUAAGGAGCAAGCCAGAAACGUAAAGCCCGUGGCAUUUCCUAUGAGAGUCUUCUCUGGAAGCCAAAGAGGUGGGCAUUUAUGUUUGGUCUCUCUGGUUCAACAGAGUUCUGACACCAAGCUUAGUGUGGUACGUGGAGCAAAGAAGUUGCUGAAUACUUUCUAUGAGCCACUGGAACACUCACCCCACCCCACAACGAUUCUGCUAGCUCGAGCAAUCUAUUGUUCUACGCAGAAAACAAGAAGUGAAAAUGUGCUACCACAAAAAAGAUGGAAGGAAAUAUGCCAGACAAAAACAAUUGUUUGAAACAAGUUUUGUGGGAACCAUGUCUUUAGGAAAUGAGAUGUUGAACUUAUUUUGGCAAUUUGUAAGUAACUUUUCAAAAUUUUUUUCCACACUCCAUUAUUAUUAAACUGGAGUAGAACUCUUUCCCUUGAGCUAUCAUUUACUAAAAAUCUCCCUGGAAUUUCAGGCAAUUUAGGGAAAUGUAACUUGCAG